rnacentral:rRNA from 1 species
GAUGAACGCUAGCUACAGGCUUAACACAUGCAAGUCGAGGGGCAGCAUGUUGGUUGCGUGCAACCGAUGAUGGCGACCGGCGCAAGGGUGAGUAACGCGUAUCCAACCUACCCUUGUCCAUCGGAAAACCCGUCGAAAGGCGGCCUAACACGAUAUGCGGUUCACAGCGGGCCGGUAACGUGAACGAAAUGUGAAGGAUGAGGAGGGGGAUGCGUCUGAUUAGGUUGUUGGCGGGGUAACGGCCCACCAAGGCGACGAUCAGUAGGGGUUCUGGGAGGAAGGUCCCCCUCAUUGAAACUGAGACACGGUCCAAACUCCUACGGGAGGCAGCAGUGAGGAAUAUUGGUCAAUGGACGAGAGUCUGAACCAGCCAAGUAGCGUGCAGGAUGACGGCCCUAUGGGUUGUAAACUGCUUUUAUAAGGGAAUAAAGUGAGUCUCGUGAGACUUUUUGCAUGUACCUUAUGAAUAAGGACCGGCUAAUUCCGUGCCAGCAGCCGCGGUAA